rnacentral:rRNA from 1 species
CUCGUGUCGUGAGAUGUUGGGUUAAGUCCCGCAACGAGCGCAACCCUCGCCAUUAGUUGCCAUCAUUUAGUUGGGAACUCUAAUGGGACUGCCGGUGCUAAGCCGGAGGAAGGUGGGGAUGACGUCAAGUCCUCAUGGCCCUUACAGGGUGGGCUACACACGUGCUACAAUGGCGACUACAGAGGGUUAAUCCUUAAAAGUCGUCUCAGUUCGGAUUGUCCUCUGCAACUCGAGGGCAUGAAGUUGGAAUCGCUAGUAAUCGCGGAUCAGCAUGCCGCGGUGAAUACGUUCCCGGGCCUU